AAUUGAAAAGAAAUAACUCACAUUGAAUAAAUUGAAAAGAUUUAGAAAAAAAAUUAAAGAAAUUUAAGGGCAUUUUUGUCUUGACACAUAUUUAUCCAUGGAUUACUAAUCCCACCAAGUUGGAUGUAUUAGUUAUACAACCUAUAAUACCAUGUAGGGUGUAUAACUAAUCCAUGUAUUAGUUAUACAUAGCUUCAAAAUUGCUACCAAACAAUGUACUAAGUAAUCCUAUCAUUUAAUCCAUGGAUUAUUAUCCUACCAAACGGGUCCUAAUAGUAUAAAAAAUAUUUUAACUUCUCCUGCUUAGCAUGAUAAAUCAAAAAGAAAAAAAAUAGAAAAAAGAUAGAAUUGAAUUAUCUUACAUACAUCUUUUAUGCAUUCGACUCUACAAGAAAAUUAAUUUCCUUCCUUUUUAUUGAAGAAAGAGAAAUAUAGAAUCUAUUAGACUGCGAUGAGUAAAUAAUGAAAUUGUCAUCCUUUUUUCGGAGGAGUUAAAAAAAAAAACUAUGAAGGCUCCAUUGCUUUUUAUAUUUCUUUUUAUUUUGUCUGAGAUUUAUCAAUAUCAAUUUCUUUUUAAUUCGAUGUACCAUUAGUAUAUAUAUAAUGAAUAAUACUAACAAUUAUGAGUUGAGAAAAAUAAUUUGUGUUCUGGAGCUGCAAUAUAUUCAGACUACAAUCAGGUACACUCUUUUCAAAAGCUUUUUCAAUUUAUUUUUUUAAAAAUAAUUUUAUUAUUACUUUCUAACGCAAGUUCUAAUAUGCAAAUUUAGGCUCAUUUUGCUCCUAGUGGUUAUACCAAGCUUCCAGAUGAUAUUCCUGGAUACCUAAAAGGUUGUAGAUUUUUGCCAAAGUUUAAUAAUGAAAUCCCUAAUGCAUUUAAUCCAAUUUAUAAGCAACGUUUUAGUAGUUUGCAGAACCUUGUCCUUGUCAUGUUUGAACAAGAAAGUGUGGUAACUCCAAAAGAAAGUUGUUGGUUUGGCUUUUACCAAGAUGGAGCCUACUCUCAAAUUUUGCCAGCACAACAAACUGAUGUUUAUAAAGAGGAUUUGUUUGGAUUACAAAUAUUGGAUAAAGCUGGAAAAGUGAAGUUCAUAAAGGCGCAAGGACGUCACCUAGAAAUUACUAUUCCAGAGAUGCAACAAUUUGUUGUCCCAUAUUUGAUUGAUGGAGCACCAAAUACUAGUACUUCUCAAGUGGUCCAUUGAUUAAAAAAAGUUGUUGAGGAUAAUAAAGAAAAAAGAAUUACUAGUACUAAUGUGAUCUAAUUUGUUGGAUAUGAAGAUUAUGUGGUGAUUAUUAAUAUAGACCGG